UACGGAGGGUGCAAGCGUUAAUCGGAAUUACUGGGCGUAAAGCGCGCGUAGGUGGUUUGGUAAGCGAGAUGUGAAAGCCCCGGGCUUAACCUGGGAACGGCAUUUCGAACUGUCAGACUAGAGUGUGGUAGAGGGUAGUGGAAUUUCCUGUGUAGCGGUGAAAUGCGUAGAUAUAGGAAGGAACACCAGUGGCGAAGGCGGCUACCUGGACCAACACUGACACUGAGGUG
rnacentral:rRNA from 1 species